rnacentral:rRNA from 1 species
UGGAUCCAGACUUUGAUUCUGGCUCAGGACGAACGCUGGCGGCGUGCUUAACACAUGCAAGUCGAACGGGGUGUUUAUUUCGGUAAACACCAAGUGGCGAACGGGUGAGUAACGCGUAAGCAAUCUACCUUCAAGAUGGGGACAACACUUCGAAAGGGGUGCUAAUACCGAAUGAAUGUAAGAGUAUCGCAUGAGACACUUACUAAAGGAGGCCUCUGAAAAUGCUUCCGCUUGAAGAUGAGCUUGCGUCUGAUUAGCUAGUUGGUGAGGGUAAAGGCCCACCAAGGCGACGAUCAGUAGCCGGUCUGAGAGGAUGAACGGCCACAUUGGGACUGAGACACGGCCCAGACUCCUACGGGAGGCAGCAGUGGGGAAUCUUCCGCAAUGGGCGAAAGCCUGACGGAGCAACGCCGCGUGAACGAUGAAGGUCUUAGGAUCGUAAAGUUCUGUUGUUAGGGACGAAGGAUAAGGAUUAUAAUACAGUCUUUGUUCGACGGUACCUAACGAGGAAGCCACGGCUAACUACGUGCCAGCAGCCGCGGUAAUACGUAGGCGGCAAGCGUUGUCCGGAAUUAUUGGGCGUAAAGGGAGCGCAGGCGGGAAACUAAGCGGAUCUUAAAAGUGCGGGGCUCAACCCCGUGAUGGGGUCCGAACUGGUUUUCUUGAGUGCAGGAGAGGAAAGCGGAAUUCCCAGUGUAGCGGUGAAAUGCGUAGAUAUUGGGAAGAACACCAGUGGCGAAGGCGGCUUUCUGGACUGUAACUGACGCUGAGGCUCGAAAGCUAGGGUAGCGAACGGGAUUAGAUACCCCGGUAGUCCUAGCCGUAAACGAUGGAUACUAGGUGUGGGAGGUAUCGACUCCUUCCGUGCCGGAGUUAACGCAAUAAGUAUCCCGCCUGGGGAGUACGGCCGCAAGG